GUUGCCGGCCAUAGGGCGUGGGACCCACCUGAACCCGUUCCGAACUCAGAAGUUAAACUACGCUCCGUUUCCGGCUGUAGUACGGUCUUCGGCCGCGCAAAACCGGAAAAGCCAGCAGCC
rnacentral:rRNA from 1 species